GACGAACGCUGGCGGCGUGCUUAACACAUGCAAGUCGAACGGAAAGGCCUGCUUUCCCUUGUGGAUUGCGGGUACUCGAGUGGCGAACGGGCGAGUAACACGUGAGUGAUCUGCCCCCAACUUGGGUAUAAGCCUGGGAAACUGGGUCUAAUUCCCGAUAGGACUGCAGGGUGGUGCCUGUGGUGGAAAACGAUUUUCUAGUGGUUGGGGAUGAGCUCGCGGCCUAUCAGCUUGUUGGUGGGGUAAUGGCCUACCAAGGCGGCGACGGGUAGCCGGCCUGGGAGGGGGGACGGCCACAUUGGGACUGAGAUACGGCCCAGACGCCGACGGGAGGCAGCAGUGGGGAAUAUUGCACAAUGGGCGGAAGCCUGAUGCAGCGACGCCGCGUGGGGGAUGACGGCCUUCGGGUGGUAAACUCCUUUCGACCGCGAGGAAGCCACCUGGUUGGAAGGGUGGUGACGGUAGUGGUGGAAGAAGCACCGGCUAACUACGUG
rnacentral:rRNA from 1 species